rnacentral:tRNA from 1 species
GCCCCAGUAGCUCAAUGGACAGAGCGACGGCCUUCUAAGCCGACGGUUGCAGGUUCGACUCCUGCCUGGGGUA